GAGCAUGCGCACUUUGGACGUGGGCGCGUGUGUGGAUUGGGAGGAGGUCGCGCUGUCCAUGGGCGUCCCUGGCCUGCGCCGCCCGGAGAUGAUAAAUAGCCAAAGAUGUCAGUGGCACUCAUGGACAUAGUAAGCAUAGUAGGAGCUGAAAAACUAGAAGCAAUGAAAAUGUCAACUAUUUUGACCUAAAAGAAGCAGUGUCUUCGGAACAUUUGGUCAUAAAACCAGAAAUUAAAGGAGGAGAAAAACAUUUUUCUGAAGCUUAUACUUUCACAUUUACUAGAGAGCAUAUUUGUAUGGAUGGGGUUGGGUAAACACUCAACAAAAGUUUCUUUAAAAAGAAGAAACCAUCCUGGUUUGAUGUUACAUAAUCACCAGUUAGCCACUGCUCCCUUCCCUCCCCAAACUGCCCUGUUGCUUGCAGGCUCACCUGAGCUGAGAGGCAGCCCUCACUCCCCAUUGGCACCUCACUGGGGCCUUCUUUAUACCCUGGAGAACUUCACAGGGAAUCUGUAUCUGUAACACAAAGGCUUCCUGGUCCAGAUGUAGAUACUAGGUCUGACUGGAUAUUUAAGUCCUGCGGACUUACUCUGCCACAAUUAUUUAAUCAUGUAAAAAUAAUUUAUAAUUCUUAUAAAGUAUCCCAUUCAUAAAAUAAUGAAUGUUGGGGUUAUUGCAUUUACUUGCACAUGUACAGUAUACAAGAUUAUACAUUAAUAAUAAUGUUUUCAAAUAGUUAUUGUCAAAGCUGUUUUUCUUAUGUUUAUGAAAGUGCUUAUGAAAUUAAUGUUUUAUGAGGCUAGAGAUGUAUAUUUUGUAAUUUCAUUCUGAUAUUUGUUAAUACUCACUUCCACUGCUGGGUUUGGUUGAUGAGAUUGGCAUUGUCUAAUUUCAAGCUUUUUGAGUGUGUACUCUUUCAUGGCAAGUAUGAAAUAACUAGUAAAAAAUAUACAAAUAUGCUUAACAAUCAGUAGACUUUCUCACAUUGAUUACUUACAACAGCUUUAGGUGGGGUGAAUCAGAUGCCUGUAUUACAGAAGCAUCUAAUGCAAAGCAAAAUCAAAUGACUUGUAUGAGCGCACAGAGGUAGGUGUGGAAGGAAGUGAAACACUAUUUUAGGUUUUAGUUACACUGUGCUGUGGUGUGCUGCCUCAUAUUUGCAUUAACCUGCAAAUACUAGGGGUUAUGAAUUGUUUCUAAGUCUAUUAUUAAAAAUAGCCUUGCUUCAUUUCUUCCUAAAAUGGAGACAAACGUGUAUAGUGUCUAUCUUACCAGUAUGUGUAAGAAUAAUAUCUUAAUGUGUGUAACAUGUUUAUAGGAACCUGUAUUUCAAAGAGCUAUUUUUGCAAGUGAGACUAACCUUCUAAGAAACUUUUUUAUUCAAACUUUUUUCUCCAUUUAUAACUGUUCUAUUAUUUCUUAAUGUUCAGAACCCUUUUCAUUAUCUAUAAGGCUAAGUUUUAGGUAAGUAAUAAGAAAAUAAUAACAUAUGGAAAAGAAAUGAAUGAGGACUCAAGAUGUCUGUCAAUUAAGAAUGAGUAUGUCAGCCCUUGUAUUAUGAUUUUACCUGGGAGGUGAUAAUUAUUGGAUGAUGUAAUGUAAGGGCAGUGAUACUACCUGGUAUGUAAGACUGUUAAAAUCACUGAGGUAAGAUAUUACUUGAACUAAGCACAGAAAUAGAGACAGAUUUUUAAUGCAUUUAAUUAUCAAAAUAUCUAAAUUAAAGAUUUAGUGUGGCUGUUCACUGGAAACAAAUGGCAGACAAACAGAAUAUUUCUUGGAGUCAUAAAUGACUUCAUACUGUUUCCAA